rnacentral:misc_RNA from 1 species
UACAGAGGGUGCAAGCGUUGUUCGGAAUUACUGGGCGUAAAGCGCACGUAGGCGGCUCUUUAAGUCUCGCUGUGAAAUCCCGGGGCUCAACUCCGGGGCUGCAGGGGAUACUGGAGGGCUUGAGACCAGUAGAGGCAAGUGGAAUUCCGGGUGUAGCGGUGGAAUGCGUAGAGAUCCGGAAGAACACCGGAGGCGAAGGCGGCUUGCUGGGCUGGUUCUGACGCUGAGGUGCGAAAGCGUGGGGAGCGAACAGG